rnacentral:ncRNA from 2 species
UUCUUAUCGAGAGCGGUGGAGGGACUGGCCCUAUGAUACCCGGCAACCGGUUUUUACACGGUGCUAAUUCCAGCGGAGCAAUGUGCUCUGAAAAGAUAAGAA